ensembl:snoRNA
CCUCCAUUUCUUGGCACGCACGUGGUUGUCCAGUACUCGUGAGUGAAAUGUACGGAGGAAAAAUAAAUGCAGUGCUAUGUCUUCGGUGCCGGCAUGUAUUAUCGUCUGCCGGUUCUAUCCUCAAUCGCUGUAACAUUC